GCACUCCCGGGGCGUCUCCAUCUCAUUGCGAGAAGAGGCGCACCCAGAGCGCACACGCUGAUACCCGAAAGAUGGUGAACUAUGCCUGGCCAGGACGAAGCCAGGGGAAACCCUGGUGGAGGUCCGCAGCGAUUCUGACGUGCAAAUCGAUCGUCGGAGCUGGGUUUAGGGGCGAAAGACCAAUCGAACCAUCUAGUAGCUGGUUCCCUCUGAAGUUUCCCUCAGGAUAGCUUGCGCUCAAAUGAAACGAGUCUCAUCCGGUAGAGCGAAUGAUUAGAGGCCUUGGGGUCGAAACGACCUCAACCUAUUCUCAAACUCCAAAUAGAUGAGAACCCCGGCUUUCUUGAACGUUGUUUAUGAAGCCGGGGGCUUGGAUCAGAGUGCCAAGUGGGCCAAUUUUGGUAAGCAGAACUGGCGCUGUGGGAUGAACCAAACGCGGAGUUAAGGCGCCUCAAUCGACGCUCAUGUGAAACCAUGAAAGGCGUUGGUUGCUUAAGACAGCAG
rnacentral:rRNA from 1 species